GCUGGGCAUGAUGGUGCAUGCCUGUAAUCCCUGCAACUCGGGAGGCUGAGGCAGGAAGAUUGCAAGUUCGAGGUCAGUCUGGGUCACUUAGCAAGACCCUGUCUCAA
rnacentral:sRNA from 1 species